GGACUGUGGCCCAGGGAGAGCAGAGCUGUGACAGCAGGGGAAGGUGUGAUUAAACCUGGAAGAGAACAGAAAAGAACCUUCCUGCACCAGCUGCUGUGUGAAUGGCUGGAUGAGGGUGAAGCCAGAGGAAUGUAAAUCAGCGAUGGCAGCAGGCAGACCUGACUCCCCUCUCAGGCAAGGAGACCAUAACCAGCUCAUUCUAGGACAGAUAAAAAAGAAGUCAGGUCAGGAAAACAAUUACAGUCAUCUGCUUCCUCCCUCCUUCCCUCUAUCCCUGCUGCCAUCUCUGCCUCCACCCUCCCUCUGUCUCAUCCUCUAUAUCCCCCGUAGUCUGAUGAUUUAGGCUCAUUAAUGACAUUCAGUCUCUUCCCACUCUGUCUUUGACCACAACAGACUUUUGUUUGGUUUUAGUUUUCUUUCAGGUUUGAUUUCCUCCUUUCAUUCUUUCUUUCAACGUUGUUUCGUCUAUUCAUUUCCACAGCAUCUUCACUUUUCGUUUUGUAAUCUUUUUAAAAUGGCUUUCUGAUACUAUCUUGCUGUCUUUAAGCGUUUGCCUAUAUGAGGCAGUGAGAUUUAGAGCAGGUCUCCAGGUCAGGGCUAUUCAGCCUGUUCAUGCGGGCAAUCAGGCCGUCCACCCAAAUAAUGACUGCCAUGAAUCAACCCAUGAAUGAGACAGCCAUUGGAUUCAGCACCAUGGUCAGCACUUCUGCCUUUAACUUACCCUACCAGCAUGAGCGUUUCUGCUAAGAGGACAAUAAAACUAUAGUGGAAGCCGUUUGUGUUGAAACGAGCGUCACAGGCGCCUGCUUUUAGGUUAGCCCGAACUGAAUGAUUAGAUUUGGUGGAAUAGUUACAGUGGAGGGCGAACAUUUCUUCACUUGGUGAAGCCACAUUUUGCAUUGCAUUGCAAAAUUACAGCACUGUUUUUUUUUUUUAUGAGAGGCUGCUGCAGUAGCCUUGAGAUGGACUCCACCUGGAAAGAGGAAACAAGGGAGGCCAGAAACAACCCGGUGGAGAACUGUGACCUCGGAACUGAAAACGGCUAAUCUAACUUGGGGCGAGGCACAUGUUGCAUAGGAUAGAACCAGAUGGAAGCAGAUAGUCGCAGCCUGAUGUUCCAAAGGGAACGAAGGGGAUUAAAUUCCCCCCACCAGUGUUCAUCAAAGCAGCAUUGAAAUCCACCACUUCUAAAAGCUGAAAGUGUGCACAGAUCAUCUGAGAUGAAACAGCAGAGAUUGAUUGAGAGAAAUCCCCUAAGCUGCUUCUGCAUCUGGUUUCUGCCACUCUGACUCUUGAUCUGCAAUGUCAUUGAAGUUCCAGUGCUCCAAGAAAGCACUCAGGAAAACUACUGCGGCGGCUGGAAAAAAAAAGAAAAAAAAGAAGCUGACAUCACCUUCCGUUUGGUUUGAUGAAUAUUCAUAAAGGCGGAGGAGUGGUGAAGGUGGUGGUUGUGACUGCGUUGUCGGACAUGGCAUGAGGAACUGGGCGGACAGAACUGUCCUUUAUCAAGAGGUGCUAUUUGUGGAUAUAUGUGUGUGCAUGUGACAGUGUGUGUGUUCGUGUCUGUGUACACAAUAAAGAGGAAGACAUGAUGAAGGUGCACAUUUGACAAACGUCUCACUGGUUUGUGAUAGGAAAGAGAUUAGCUACACACACACACACACACACAGUAAAAUGUUUUUUUCCAGCCAAUUUGAACACAAGUCCUUUAAGUCGUCAGUAUGCUUCAACCAAAGUGCUUGUCUGACAGCUUCAGCGACGCCCUCCCCUCCACGCCUUUCUGAUGUCAGAAUUGGGCAGGCUCCAAAUAUUAUCCAAAAAUGUGUACUGUUAUCCCCACAUUUGAUCGAUCACCCUCUGCCUUCGAGUGUGGCCAUUUGGAACAGCUAUAAACGCUUUUGUCCUCUGAUGCGAUCAGACAACAUGUCAUAAGAACUAGGUGCUUUUGAGCAUAACUCGGCCUUAACUUUCUAAAACAGACAAUCCAAUAUGUACACCCUCUUCACGCAGCAGCCAGGUGUGCAGAGGUAUGAAAGUGAUCAGGACUUGAACUUCUUUCUUUUUUUUUUUCAUUUUUCACACAACUACUUCUGUAACUGUUCAUGUGAACAACCAACUGAACCGAGAAAAGACUGAAAGUAUGCACUCUGUUUGAAUGAUUAAUGACACAAAGUUUCCACCUAACUUCCACAAUAUGACGUGCAAAGGAUAGAUUCACGGGAUUCAGAUGUUUUAUUUGUCACAUACUCAUACAGUAUGUGCAGUGAGAUGGA